rnacentral:lncRNA from 1 species
GAAACUCAUGCCCUCAUAGCCCUCAACGCCAGAACUACUCCAUCUUCUUCCUCCAGCCCUUCAUCCUCACCAACCACAACCCUAGACACCUCCAUUGCUGGCGAAUUGAUCAUGGCGGACCUUCCUGAGGAACUUCACUACCCACAAUACUUUCUCCCACCUGGCCUACAGAUUGAGGAACAUUUGUCCCGUGCCUCAAGAGCGGAUGUUACUAUUCAAAACCAUCCCACGAAGCGUCACGAAGAUUUCGUGGCGGUGCUGGUGGAACCACAGCCUCCAGAAGAGAGCAUCCAGGACCUAAUCCAUCAGGUUGUUCACAUCAUCAAUCAUCAGUACCGCUUUCAAGUGGUAAGAACUAUCAGGUUCCCUCUUGCGCUCUGCCUAGUCCACCUUACUUCAGAAGUGCGUACAGAUGCUUUGCUUGCUGGAGACCCCAUGGUCUUGAACAAUGGUGAUUUUAAUGCUCGGUUUGUGUGUCCUGAUAAUCUGGAUAAUAGGCGUAACUGUCCAUUCAGUAGGGAUGGUUGGAUCAUGAUUCUUGGUAUCCCCCUUGAUUUUAGAAAUGAAUCCGACAUUGAAAGGGUAGUAAACACUUUUGGCAAACUUGUUCGCUGGGAUCAUCGUGAUCGGGUCCUGGGAAGGGUUCUAGCUAGGUGCUUGUACUCUGAUCCUAGUGCUAUCCCAAGGAAAAUUGUAAUGGAAAACCCAGCUAACAAGGGGGGUUAUGGGGAAUCUUGGACUCUGCAGACCUUUGUUUUGAAUGGGGAAUUUACUGAUGUGUUCCCUAUGGAUGAAAACUUGCCACCUACGUGGAUGAGAACAACGCUUUGGAAGUUCAGAUUGAACAAAUCCAGCAUCAUCAGCAAGCAGAUGUUCAUGAAGAGAUGCAACAUGACUCUGCAACUAUUGAACAUCACUGGUGGCUUGGUUUCAAGCCUUGUCUACCUGUACAGAUACCUAGAAGUGUGGCAUAUGGCUUUUGAUUCAAGUAAAGAUCAGGUGGUUUUUGUAAGGCCUGCAAAGUGUCGACGGGUUGAUGCUGAGCAGACAGAGGUGGUCAAAAGGCCCAGGGCCAAACUUCUUCAUGGCAGUGGUAACUUGAGAAUGUUCCCAAGCUCCUCUGCCCAGGGAGAGAAGUCUGACUUGAACCAAGAAUCACCCAAGAAGAGGUCUGGAGUUCAACCUGAGCCUCUCACUGCCCAUUCUGAUGAUAUGAAGAAUUCCAUUCAGCCUGCUUCCCCAAACUCUGCUGAAGAUAUCCAAAAUGUGGAUGUCGAUGUAAGUGAUGUGCUUCCUGAGGAUGUCAGCAAGAAAUUCAGUGUAACUUGUAAACUUGCUGCCCGCCUAAAGUGA